ensembl:snRNA U1 U1 spliceosomal RNA
ACACUUAUACACAUAUGUGAUGAUCAGGAAGGUUUUCCCAGGGUGGGGCUCAUCUAGCACAGUCUGGUCAUGCUGAUCCUGCUAUUUCUCCAAAGGCAGCCAAUACAAUUGCAUAAUUUGUGGUAGUGGGGGUCCGUGUUGCUUCUCUUCCCUG